rnacentral:rRNA from 1 species
GACGAACGCUGGCGGCGUGCUUAACACAUGCAAGUCGAACGGAAAGGCCCUGCUUUUGUGGGGUGCUCGAGUGGCGAACGGGUGAGUAACACGUGAGUAACCUGCCCUUGACUUUGGGAUAACUUCAGGAAACUGGGGCUAAUACCGGAUAGGAGCUCCUGCUGCAUGGUGGGGGUUGGAAAGUUUCGGCGGUUGGGGAUGGACUCGCGGCUUAUCAGCUUGUUGGUGGGGUAGUGGCUUACCAAGGCUUUGAAGGGUAGCCGGCCUGAGAGGGUGACCGGCGUCAUGGGGACUGAGAGACGGACCAGACGCCUACGGGAGGCAGCAGGGGGGAGUAUGACGCAAUGGGCGGAAGCCUGAUGCAGCGACGCCGCGUGCGGGAUGACGGCCUUCGGGUUGUAAACCGCUGUCGCCUGUGACGAAGCGUGAGUGACGGUAAUGGGUAAAGAAGCACCGGCUAACUACGUG